CCUACGGGGGGCAGCAGUGGGGAAUAUUGGACAAUGGGGGCAACCCUGAUCCAGCCAUGCCGCGUGUGUGAAGAAGGCCCUCGGGUUGUAAAGCACUUUCAGUGAGGAAGAACGCCUGGUGGUUAAUACCCAUCAGGAAAGACAUCACUCACAGAAGAAGCACCGGCUAAUUCCGUGCCAGCAGCCGCGGUAAUACGGAGGGUGCGAGCGUUAAUCGGAAUUACUGGGCGUAAAGCGCGCGUAGGUGGCUUGAUAAGCCGGUUGUGAAAGCCCCGGGCUCAACCUGGGAACGGCAUCCGGAACUGUCAAGCUAGAGUGCAGGAGAGGAAGGUAGAAUUCCCGGUGUAGCGGUGAAAUGCGUAGAGAUCGGGAGGAAUACCAGUGGCGAAGGCGGCCUUCUGGACUGACACUGACACUGAGGUGCGAAAGCGUGGGUAGCAAACAGGAUUAGAUACCCCGGUAGUC
rnacentral:rRNA from 1 species